GUCUAUGCCCUGACCGAUGAAUGUUAACUGUUGAAAUUUUUUAUUUUUGAUGGUAAAGCUAACGCGUUAAACAUUCCGCCUGAGAACUACGGCCGCAAGGUUGAAACUCAAAGAAAUUGGCGGAGGGCUAAAAUAACGGUGGAGCAUGUUGUUUAAUUUGAUAUAACGCAAGAAAUCUUACCAAUUUUUGAAUACAUAAGUAAACUUUAUUGUGAUAUAAUUAUAUAUUAUAUUCUUAUGUACAGGCGUUGCAUGGCUGUCGA
rnacentral:rRNA from 1 species